UACAGAGGUCUCAAGCGUUGUUCGGAUUCAUUGGGCGUAAAGGGUGCGUAGGCGGCGCGGUAAGUCGGGUGUGAAAUCUCGGGGCUUAACUCCGAAACUGCAUUCGAUACUGCCGUGCUUGAGGACUGGAGAGGAGACUGGAAUUUACGGUGUAGCGGUGAAAUGCGUAGAUAUCUGGAGGAACACCGGUGGCGAAGGCGGCGUCCUGGACCAAUACUGACACUGAGGAGCGAAAGCCAGGGGAGCAAACGGG
rnacentral:rRNA from 1 species